rnacentral:rRNA from 1 species
AAUCAACGCUGGCGGCGUGCCUCAGACAUGCAAGUCGAACGCGAAAGCCCCCUUCGGGGGCAAGUAGAGUGGCGCACGGGUGAGUAACACGUAGGUAAUCUACCUUUGGAUGGGGAAUAACCACCGGAAACGGUGGCUAAUACCGCAUAAUGCAGCGGCACCUAAUGGUGACAGUUGUUAAAGCGGGGGAUCGCAAGACCUCGCGUCUGAAGAGGAGCCUGCGGCAGAUUAGCUAGUUGGUAAGGUAACGGCUUACCAAGGCGAUGAUCUGUAGCCGGCCUGAGAGGGCGGUCGGCCACACUGACACUGACAUACGGGUCAGACUCCUACGGGAGGCAGCAGUCGGGAAUUUUGGGCAAUGGGCGAAAGCCUGACCCAGCAACGCCGCGUGAAGGAUGAAAUCCCUCGGGAUGUAAACUUCGCAAGAACGGGAAGAAUAAGUAAGAGUUAACAUCUCUUACGAUGACGGUACUGUUUGUAAGCUCCGGCUAACUCCGUGCCAGCAGCCG